GAUGAACGCUGGCGGCGCGCCUAACACAUGCAAGUCGAACGAUUAAAGCACCUUCGGGUGUGUAUAAAGUGGCGAACGGCUGAGUAACACGUGGGCAACCUGCCCCUUUCAUUGGGAUAGCCACGGGAAACCGUGGAUAAUACCGAAUACUUCGAGACUUCCGCAUGGAAGACUCGAGAAAGCUCCGGCGGGGAGGGAUGGGCCCGCGGCCUGUUAGCUUGUUGGUGGGGUAACGGCCUACCAAGGCAAUGAGGGGUAGCUGGGUUGAGAGACCGACCAGCCAGAUUGGGACUGAGACACGGCCCAGACUCCUACGGGAGGCAGCAGUGGGGAAUCUUGCACAAUGGGCGAAAGCCUGAUGCAGCGACGCCGCGUGCGGGAUGAAGGCCUUCGGGUUGUAAACCGCUUUCAGCAGGGACGAGGCGAAAGUGACGGUACCUGCAGAAGAAGCCCCGGCUAACUACGUG
rnacentral:rRNA from 1 species